ACUGUCCCCCUCUAAGGUAAGCAGUAUUUACUCAACUUUAUCCUGUGAGAAGCCAAGCAUAAAUAUCUGGUCUUGGUAUUUUUAUUCAAUUCCUCAUUCUCUUAACUUAUGUCUGGCAAAACUUGUCCCCAUCCUCAGAGAUUACUUGGGUACAGCCACUCCUAUGAAGCCCUCAUUUAACACCUAGAUGCAUUAAGAAGUUGAACCUUGACUUUGCCGGAAACAUUCAAAGUCUAGAAGGUAAAAUGAUUAGUAACAGAAGGAGGAAAAGUAGUCCCUGUGUUGCUGAACUAAAACAUCACACAAGAUAGAAGCUGGUAGUUUCCUAGCCAAGAUGCUGAUCCCACUGGUUGGUUGAUCAGGUGAAGCUACUAAGGUCAUGUCCACUUUAUGAACACUGACAAUCAUUGUUGAAACAACUGAGAAAGCAUGGCUCAGGAUGUGGGAAAGACAACUUCACAGCUACUAGGAGGUGUUAAAGAUGACCUCAUCUUCUCAUUUACUUCUGAUACUGAAAUAAGCAGUUGAAGAAAGUACUCCCUCCCCCCCUCCCAGCACCAGACUGCCAUCCUCCUGAAGAUCAACACAUCUGCAAAUACAUUCUGCAAACCUCAGGGAAGAAAGCCAGAUUGCAGCCUGCCUUAUCUCUUCUGACUGGCUGAAUGUAUUUCAGGCCUCAAGCAUCACAUGACUGUACAUAACAUACGAAUACAAUAACUAACAUGGCUUUUAUAACAGAUCAGCAGGGAUCAGCAGUGUUGAACAAACACCCUUAUUUGCAAAAGCACCUUCCCAGCCCAUGAAGCAGGUGACCUUGUCUCCCAAGGGUUACAGUGCAGAGUUAAUGAUCCACAAAUUAAGGAUUUGAAAUUUAUCCACAGUUCCCCUCUUAACUGCACAAUUUUACACCAAAUCAAAUAAACACUGUCACUGCUCUAUAGAAACCCAGUGCUGUAAGAGAGGCCAGAGUUCAGGAGGCAGUGGACAGUGCAUUUUCUGCGAGAAGGCAUCUGCUGGUGGGGACAAGAUUUCAUGAGAAAGCAUAGAUCAUAGAUUGUUCAAUGGCCUUUGUUGUACUUCCCACUGAAGAAUAUAGUGCAUAUCUCACCGUCUACUAUGUGACCAGGUAGGGCUCCACAGUGGCCUGGGGACUCCUAAAGACCAGUCCAAUCUGUAAACCAUUAGUAUUUUCCUAAAACAGGUUUAUACACUGGAAAGAUCUGAUUGUACAGGACGGAAUCCUUUAUGCUCUGCUGGAUCAUGGGAUUCACAAGAUUUAUUUCCACGUGAAAUGCCAUAUGGAAAAAUCCCCUGUAUAUGGAAAAAUCCCCUUGCCUCUUGCAUUCUCAAUAAACUACAUCCCAUAUCUCAA